GUCAGAAAGUGGAAAUUUAUAUGCUUGGUAACCAUCUAAACAUUGAUAGUAUUGAGAUUUUUUUAACACAUCGGAUUUACAACUCAAUUAUACGUAUGUAAAAAGAGGGAAGGGAAAGUCAUAUGAGAAAAUAAAAACCAUUCAGUCAAUCGAGGAAAAAAUAAUAUGCUUGAUAAACUUCCGCACACUGAUAGUACGAUAUUUUUAACACAUAAGAUUUCCAACUUUACUGAAUGUGUAUGAAGAAACGGGGAGGAAAACAUUGUCAUAUAAAAAGGAUAUUCAACUAUUUUCAAUCAAUCAAGGUUUGUUUAGCAAGUGGAAAUUAAUAUGAUGGGAAAACAUCUUCACAUUAAUAGUUUUGAAAGCUUUUAACACUUGGGAUUUUCAGCUCUAUUAAAUGUGUGUAAAAAGAAGGAAGGGAAAGUUAUAUAAAAAGGAAAAUCAAAAACGUUCAGUCUAUCAAGGUUUAGAAAGUGGAAAUUAAUAUGAUUGGUAAAUAUCUACACACUGAUAGUUUUCGGAUUUUAAACUCUAUUAAAUGUGUACAAAAAGAGGGAAGGGAAAGUCAAAUAAAAAGGAAAAUCAAAAUCGUUCAGUCACUCAAGGUUUAGCAAGUGGAAAUUAAUAUGCUUCGGUAAUCGUCUCAAUCAUUACAUUAAUAAACAAAUCAUAAACAUAAAUAAACGAAUACCAAUGCAAUCUUUAUGAUGUUGAUGUAAGAAAGUAGAAAAAGGAAGAGUUGUGUUCAGUCAUAUUCACUGAAGUGUAGAAGGUAGGAAAAAGGAAGAGUUGUGUUCAGUCAUAUUCACCGAAGUGUAGAAGGUAGGAAAAAGGAAGAGUUGUGUUCAGUCAUAUUCACUGAAGUGUAGAAGGUAGGAAAAAGGAAGAGUUGUGUUCAGUCAUAUUCACCGAAGUGUAGAAGGUAGGAAAAAGGAAGAGUUGUGUUCAGUCAUAUUCACUGAAGUGUAGAAGGUAGGAAAAAGGAAGAGUUGUGUUCAGUCAUAUUCACCGAAGUGUAGAAGGUAGGAAAAAGGGAGAGUUGUGUUCAGUCAUAUUCACCGAAGUGUAGAAGGUAGGAAAAAGGGAGAGUUGUGUUCAGUCAUAUUCACCGAAGUGUAGAAGGUAGGAAAAAGGGAGAGUUGUGUUCAGUCAUAUUCACCGAAGUGUAGAAGGUAGGAAAAAGGGAGAGUUGUGUUUGCUGAUUACUGGACCAAAAAGGGACCAAAAAGAACUGAUUGACGUGAAAAGAUAAUGAGGCGCAGAAAAGUCCAAGCAAUAUAUAAAUGAGUAAAAGGUGGAAAAGAAGGAAGAAAUAAAAGACAAAUGAUGAUAUUAAAAAAAAAGAAAUAGGAAGACAUGAAAUAUAAAAAAAAAUAUAGAGAUAAAUAAAUAAGAUAAAAGUAGAAUAAAUAAAUAAACAA